rnacentral:rRNA from 1 species
UACCAGCACCCCGAGCGGUCGGGGCGAUUAUUGGGCCUAAAGCAUCCGUAGCCGGUCCUACAAGUCUUCCGUUAAAUCCACCUGCUUAACAGAUGGGCUGCGGAAGAUACUAUAGGGCUAGGAGGCAGGAGAGGCAAGCGGUACUCAGUGGGUAGGGGUAAAAUCCGUUGAUCCAGUGAAGACCACCAGUGGCGAAGGCGGCUUGCCAGAAUGCGCUCGACGGUGAGGGAUGAAAGCUGGGGGAGCAAACCGG